UCUUACUUGAACAUGAAAAGACGAGAGGAAGAGCUCUCAAUCAUAUGAACCACAGAACAAUCACAUAAAAGGAAAAAAAGAGAUGUUACAGAUUAAACAUGAUUCCUAGGGUUAAAGUCUUGGAGCUGCACUGCAUAAUUUCUAUUUUGUUCCUUUUUUUUUCACUAAAUGAAGGUAUCAUACUAACCUGUCUUAGUCUUAGUUUCGUUUUUCAUUCAUAAAAUAGAGAUAUCAGAACCUACCUGACAGGAAUAAUAAUACACCUCAAGAGAUUUUGGAGUAGGUAAAAAUGAAAUAAAUGUUAAAAAGUGCUAACUUUUAAUGAAUAUUUAUAAUGUGCUGAGAACUAUUAUAAAUAUUUUAUAUGUAUUCACUUAUUUAAUCUUUACAACAACCAUAUGAGAUAUUGAUGUAUUCCAUCCUGUUCUAGAGAGGAAAAAAACUAAGUCCCAGAAACUUUAAGCAAUUUGCCUGAAAUUAGUUUUCAUCCAAAGAAAAUAUACCCUAAAUAAUCAUUGUAUUAGUCUGUUUUCACACUGCUAUAAAGCUACUACCUGUAACUGGGUAAUUUAUAAAGAAAAGAGGUUUAACUGACUUACAGCUCCGCAUGACUGAGGAAGCCUCAGGUAACUUACAAUCGUAAUGGAAGGGGAAGUAGGCACCUCUUCACAAGCUGGCAGGAGAGAGAGCCUGUGAAGGAGGAACUGUCAAACUCUUAUAGAACCGUGAGAUCUUGUGAGAACUCGCUCACUAUCACAAGAACAGCAUGGGGAAAACCACCUCCAUGAUCCAACCACCUCUCACCAGGUCCCUCGCCCAACACUCAGGGAUUACGAGGAUUACAAUUUGAGAUGAGAUUUGGGUGGGAACACAGAGCCAGGCCACAUCAAUCAUCCUAUUAGAUUAAAUAUCAUUUCAUGGCAAGAUCAUUUCUUAAUAUCAGCAGAAAGUACUGAUGUUGCUGUGAUUUGAAUUGGGCCUUCAGCAUCAGAGAUCAUUAACUUGUUAUACUAUUUCUAUACAAACUAUAUACCUUGUAUCUUACACUAGCAAGCUAUAUUAUCUCUACAUAAUAAAUUGGGUAUCAUAAACAUAAUUGUCAAAGAAACUAUGGCAGAUGAAGAAUUAGCAAGACAGAAGGAAGAAUCUACAUGAAAUCUGGCAGAUACAGUUUACUUAGGUUUUCCUAAGAGAUGCAUCAGUUUGUUAGUGAAGAAAUACUGGAGGUUUAUAUCAGAAUCAUACCAUAUGAACAUUAUAAUUACUGUAAAUACAACAUUCUUAGUAAAUCUUUGUGUUGCAUUAUUACUGAUUCUUAUAUUUUCUCUGGUUAUUGGUAAGCUUAGCUAGCUAGAUGGAGUGAAACUUUCUUUCUACUGCAGUCAAUCUAAAAAUCCAAAGUAGGCAAAUUCAUCUUUCAUAAAUCUCAGUGAAAUUUUACAUUACUUCUAAUUUUCUAAAUUAACACAUGAAGAUUAAUUUCUCUCUUUUACUUUUUGCAUUGGUGUUGAGGCACAUAAUUUUGACUAUCUUUUCUAUUGUGCCUGCAUGUUUACAUACACAUGUGUUCAUGUACAUUGCCAUGUUAGAAAAAUUACUGAAUUGUUCUGAUUGGAGUUUAUCUUUCAUCUUAACAACAACAGCAACAACAAAUGCAUGCUGAAAAAAUAAUGAAUGCAUUGCAGCACAUUGUUAGCAGUCGUUAUUAUGAAGAAAAUGGUUUGCCUCUGUCUUUCGCAAAUAGAACGUACAACACGCUCUGGCCCAGCCACACUCAGUAUCAUCCCAUAGCGGAAAAGAAGGUGAAAAAUUCUGAAAAAAUAUUUGAGUGAGGAAUGCAAACUUUACAGAGGGUCUUUUGGUUGGACGUCAGUGGCACAUCCACAUGCAACACAGGGAAGUUGGAUGUGUACCCAGACAUGAGAAAUACAAGGAAACAAUGCCACAGGGGACUCCUCAGUUUGGUGAGGUGGGGCAAGAAUUCCCCUGCUCCUAACGGUGCAAACCCUAUAUUAAAAGUAGACAAGCCAAGUGAAACCUUUUCACUCAAAUCCGAUCUGACUGAAGACUUCUAAUUCUGCUCAGAACGUUCAAAGUUGCAAGAAAAUGUCUCUCUCAUCCUAAAAUUUAGAAUUUGGCUGGAUAAUGUAGAAAAUCACAAUGGCUCUUGAACCCAGGAGAUAACUGAGCUUGUGAGGCAACCACAGAGUCUGCAUCUGAGCUGUGAUGAACCUCUCUGAGGUGAAGGGUGCAUGAACCACCUUGUCUUUGGCAGAAUACAGGAGGAUCUGGUCACCACAGAGGCAGGUAAGAAGAAAUCAGCUAAAAUUUUAUUAAAUUCUCAUGGUCCAAAAUGGGCUAAUGUAUCAGUUUAAAAUAUCUGGGAGCCCUAGGCAGAAGUGCAAGCUCUUUUCCACUGGCCUCCACUAGGUGCUCAAGGGAAAUAUUAGGGCAGAAAAAAGACCAGGGUUGACGACUAGGUGUACAGGUGUGCAGAGAUAAUUAAUUGCUACUGGGGGACAGGGAGAAGCAUCAGACAACUCCGUGGAAAGCAAAAAUGAACAGUGUAAAAGGAAAAUAGCAUCUCGGGACCUCAAACUCACUGUGCCAAAGGGAAAAGUUAAGCUUGGGAACUGGAUCAUGCAACACUGCCUCCCAUUUUGUUCCUAAAUAGGUAGCUGCAAAUAUAGCAGCCCACAUACCUCUUCAGGGGGCCUCCUUUAUCAUUUGCUCACAGGAAAAUUCCUUGUGGGCUCCAAGAUCUUUACCCUAAAACAGAGUUUUGUUGAGUUUCACCCUGACAUCAAUCAAACGUUGAUUAUCUUCACAAGUACAGGACAAGACAAGCAAGAAAUCGUCUCUCCACUCACCUGAGACCAAUGCAUAUUUGACUGCUUCCUUUCCUCUGUGUUUAUCUUAUAUUAUGUAAAGAUGCAGACUUACUGAGCAUGAAGGGAAUGCAUGGCUGACUGUCCCUCUACAUGCUCUUUUCACACGUAAAAUGUGAAUUCAGUGAACAAUGAUUAAAGCCUCAAAACAAUGCACCCACCUGCGUCUUUUAUCUACCCUCCCCUUUUUUUCUUUCCUCUCCCCUGCUGUCUGCUCUUUCCUCUUUAAAUAUUGAGAUCCCUAAACUCUGUCAAAAGCAUAGAUCACAGAUGGUUCUGUGAUUCUGUGUUCCUUUUACUCAGGCACGUCCUCAGCCUUGGCAAAAUAAAGCUCGAAAUUGAUGGAGACUCACCUUAGUCAUUUUCUUUGGUUUUACAACAGAAAGGAAAAUGCUUAAGGAUCUUUCCUCAUUAAAAACAAAAGCAAGAUAUCAC
rnacentral:lncRNA from 10 species